CCUACGGGAGGCAGCAGUGGGGAAUUGUUCGCAAUGGGCGCAAGCCUGACGACGCAACGCCGCGUGGAGGAUGAAGACCUUCGGGUCGUAAACUCCUUUCGAUCGAGACGAAUGUUUUCCGGGUGAACAAUCCGGAAAAGUGACGGUACCGAGAGAAGAAGCCCCGGCUAACUCUGUGCCAGCAGCCGCGGUAAUACAGGGGGGGGCAAGCGUUGUUCGGAAUUACUGGGCGUAAAGGGCUUGUAGGUGGCCAACUAAGUCAGACGUGAAAUCCCUCAGCUUAACUGGGGAACUGCGUCUGAUACUGGAUGGCUUGAGUUUGGGAGAGGGAUGCGGAAUUCCAGGUGUAGCGGUGAAAUGCGUAGAUAUCUGGAGGAACACCGGUGGCGAAGGCGGCAUCCUGGACCAACACUGACACUGAGGGGCGAAAGCCAGGGGAGCAAACGGGAUUAGAUACCCCGGUAGUCCUGGCCCUAAACGAUGAAUGCUUGGUGUGGCGGGGUAUCGAUCCCUGCCGUGCCGAAGCUAACGCAUUAAGCAUUCCGCCUGGGGAGUACGGUCGCAAGGCUGAAACUCAAGGAAUUGAGG
rnacentral:rRNA from 1 species